rnacentral:rRNA from 1 species
GACGUAGGGGACGAGCGUUGUCCGGAUUUAUUGGGCGUAAAGCGCGCGCAGGCGGCCGCGUAAGUCGGAUGUGAAAUCCCGAGGCUCAACCCCGGAACUGCAUUCGAUACUGCGUGGCUCGAGGUAGGUAGGGGAGAUCGGAAUUCCUGGUGUAGCGGUGGAAUGCGCAGAUAUCAGGAGGAACACCGGUGGCGAAGGCGGAUCUCUGGGCCUUACCUGACGCUCAGGCGCGAAAGCUAGGGGAGCGAACAGGAUUAGAAACCCCGGUAGU